AUUUAUAUAGUAUAAAUAUUAUAUUUGACUUCCAAUCAAAAGAUCUAGUCCUUAGUAUGAAUA
rnacentral:tRNA from 1 species